rnacentral:rRNA from 1 species
GAUGAACGCUAGCUACAGGCUUAACACAUGCAAGUCGAGGGGCAGCGCAGUGUAGCAAUACAUGGGCGGCGACCGGCGCACGGGUGCGUAACGCGUAUCCAACCUUCCCGUUACUCAGGGAUAGCCUUCCGAAAGGGAGAUUAAUACCUGAUGGUGUUGAAAUUCCGCAUGUUAUUUCAACUAAAGAUUUAUCGGUAACGGAUGGGGAUGCGUGACAUUAGGUAGAUGGCGGGGUAACGGCCCACCAGGCCUACGAUGUCUAGGGGUUCUGAGAGCAAGGUCCCCCACAUUGGGACUGAGACACGGUCCAGACUCCUACGGGAGGCAGCAGUGAGGAAUAUUGGUCAAUGGUCGGAAGACUGAACCAGCCAAGUAGCGUGAAGGAUGAAGGUUCUAUGGAUUGUAAACUUCUUUUAUACGGGAAUAAAACCUCCCACGUGUGGGAGCUUGUAUGUACCGUAUGAAUAAGCAUCGGCUAACUCCGUGCCAGCAGCCGCGGUAAUAC